GACACGCUGGCGGCGUGCUUAAUACAUGCAAGUCGAGCGAGGUUACUGGAGUGGAGCCCUUCGGGGUGAAGCUGCUUUAACCUAGCGGCGGACGGGUGAGUAACGCGUGGGUAACCUACCCCAAAGUCCGGGAUAACAGCGGGAAACCGCUGCUAAUACCGGAUGCCUUUACCUUGGGGCAUCUUGAGGUAAAGAAAGGCAACGCUUUGGGAUGGGCCCGCGUCCCAUUAGCUAGUUGGUGAGGUAACGGCUCACCAAGGCGACGAUGGGUAGCCGGCCUGAGAGGGUGGACGGCCACACUGGGACUGAGACACGGCCCAGACUCCUACGGGAGGCAGCAGUAGGGAAUAUUGCGCAAUGGACGGAAGUCUGACGCAGCGACGCCGCGUGAGCGAUGAAGGCCUUCGGGUCGUAAAGCUCUGUCCUUGGGGAAGAAGGCGAAAGCUUGACGGUACCCAAGAAGAAAGCCCCGGCUAACUACGUG
rnacentral:rRNA from 1 species